rnacentral:rRNA from 1 species
AUAUCAAUAAGCGGAGGAAAAGAAACCAACAGGGAUUACCUCAGUAACGGCGAGUGAAGCGGUAACAGCUCAAAUUUGAAAUCUGGCCUCACGGUCCGAGUUGUAAUUUGUAGAGGAUGCUUCGAGCAUGGUCUGGCCUAAGUUCCUUGGAACAGGACGUCAUAGAGGGUGAGAAUCCCGUAUGCGGUCAGGUGCCUACGCUCAUGUGAAGCUCCUUCGACGAGUCGAGUUGUUUGGGAAUGCAGCUCAAAAUGGGUGGUAAAUUUCAUCUAAAGCUAAAUAUUGGCCAGAGACCGAUAGCGCACAAGUAGAGUGAUCGAAAGAUGAAAAGCACUUUGGAAAGAGAGUUAAACAGUAC